rnacentral:rRNA from 1 species
UACGGGGGGUGCGAGCGUUGUCCGGAAUCACUGGGCGUAAAGGGCGCGUAGGUGGCGUCGUAAGUCUGUGGUGAAAGCCCGGAGCUCAACUCCGGGUCUGCCGCGGAUACUGCGAGGCUUGAGUGCUGUAGAGGGGGGUAGAAUGCCGGGUGUAGCGGUGGAAUGCGUAGAGAUCCGGCAGAAGACCGGUGGCGAAGGCGGCCCCCUGGGCAGUAACUGACACUGAGGCGCGACAACGUGGGGAGCAAACAGG